UUUGAACUUGGCUAGACCUGGAAUACUGUGAAAGGUUCAUAUACGAGUAGAUAGCAAUGGUCGAUGAAAGGUGCAAAAACAAACAGGAGAUCACCAGAACUGAGAAGUUAUAUACAUUUCCAGAUACAAGAGAGAGAGGCAACUUAACAAUUAGAUCUUCAACAUUCUGAAAAGCUUGAUAGAGAAUAAAUGGAGAUGUAGUUUCUACUUGCAGAGAAGGCAUGUACAUGGUCAUGCAUAGAAAAUUUAAAAGACACUUAUUUACGCAACGUAUUACUGGAACAUGCAGCCAGGUGUCAUACAAAAAUGGUUUAGGUGAAUAAGAGCAAUUAUGCAUUUAAGAGGAAGUUAGAUAAACAGAUAGAGCAAAAAAAAAGGAACAGGAUGAUAUUUUUACUGAGGUUAGAUGUAGAAUGGUGGAAGGAGAUGCACACAAACACUAAAAUUGAGAUGGCGGUGAAGUAAACGGCCUGAUCUUGGACUUGCAUCAGAUACCAAAUGGAAUGAGCAUUAACACUCUGAAGACAGUCCCAUAUCAUCUUACUCAUCUAUAUACCAGGGCAGGGCAAUUAUUUAUAGAGACAGCAUCCCUGUAUUAACUUGAAAUAAGAUACAUAUGACAGCCAAGGUAAAGAGAAGCUGCAGAUACAGUAAUCUAAUAUAAAUUUAUUCUGAUUGCCCCAGGACUAUACCUGAAAUAAAAUUAAUUCUGCAUUCACUUGCCUAACACCAAGGCUAUUGAAAAUGAAGAAAGAAUACUUCAGGAUUAUUUUUACUGCAGCCAAUACAAAAAAAAACUUCCUAUUGGUUUGGACGGUUUCACUUUCAGCAACAUGUACGUUUUAAGUCAGUUAUCAUACCUUACUCAACCGACAAAGACACACUAUACCACAUCAGACUAUAGUGUGUGGUAUGCUAAUUGGAUAGUGUGAAUCUGGAUGUUUAUAAACACGACACUGUGACCUACAUAAAGUGCUACAAUCAGUGAAUAUCUUGGCGGUUUUGAAAUUUGAUUGGCUUUUAAUUUAAAUCACAUUUUCCCAAUUUAAAAAUACUGAAGCAGUUUUUAAGUUUUUCCAUUCCCUCUUGAAGGUGUUGCGUCAACUGCUCUGAGACGCUGCCUGAGAUGUCUGAAUUUCAUCAUAUUUUGAUAGCUCUGCUCAGCCUUCAGGCAGACAUCAAAGCCACCAUACUUUGUUGAGUUCUGUUGCAGCAUAAAUGGAAGCCAGACACUCAAGCUGGAGAAAAUAUUUAAAACUUAGAAACAGAUUAAACAUAGCAAAUAUUUUCUCCUAUGGAUUACACUGGAUGCCUUCUGCUGUCAAACAGAAUUACUUCAUAGCAAUUCUUCCCUUUAGAAAGGACCUAGUUUAUAUUUAGAAAAACAGAAGUUACUUCAGUAGCCUACAAAUGAAAGCAGCUCUUGGAAAAGCAUUGAGCUCUGAAGAUUCAGGGUAGUUAACAAUUCGGCUUCACUGUUUGCAAGAUUGAGGGCCAGCACAAUGACCUUUGCUGGGACAUGCACAUGUGAUUGUCAGCCUAAGCAAAAUUUGCCAAAAAUAUGCCUCCUCUGAUGAAUAUCCAGGCACACUCAGUGACCAGCACUGUAAGGACACACUCUAAGGUAAUUGAGCUCACCUACCAUUUCUAGAAACAUAGCCCAACAAAGCUAGAGGUGGAAAGAAAUGCCAAAGUGCAAAGGUAUAGGGUUGAACAACAGCAGCUGGCCAUUGAACACAAUAAAGCUCCAUCUAUAAAAUCAUCAGCUUUGAAAAGCACUUCCAGAUGGCCUAGGGAAGUUCAAACAUCGAGAAAGGAAAAAAAGAGAUCUGAAAAUUGACACUGGAACAGAUUCUUGUCCUAUUGCAAGACCAAAGAUAAUGAAACCAUGCAAGGCAACUGACUGACCAUGUACCAUAGUAUUUAGAAGGGGAAACUGCAGGAUGAAAGAGUACCAAAACUACCACAGAUCCUGAAGCUGUCAGAUUUGUUUCACUUUUUGGACAACCAUGAUACAGCCAGGAAAUGGAAAUAAUAAGGAAAACCACAGCAGCAUUUGGUACCGUAGGAAUGUAGGUAGGAUAUUUAUUAGUGAAGUUACAAGCAAAGAAACUAUUCAUAUGCAUUGUUUACCAAAUUUAUGCUGAGCUCCUUCAGAAAUCACUGUGAAGUAAGAUCUCAGCUGCAAGUUGUAGCUCAUGUCAAAACCAGCGACAUAAGAAAAAGGAUUCAAGUCUUACAAAGACAACAGGAGUUUAGAUAGAGGUUCCGAAUUAAUUUUAAAAACGUAACCUAGGAAUUACCAUUAUGCCAAAGCAUGCACAGCCAUAUGUGAGAAUGAUUCUAUUGAUGAAAUUGAUCACAUUCCUGUUGUCACUUAAGAGACGAGCAGAGCUGACCAAAUUACUCAAGUGUUGACUUCAACUUUGCAGUAGGUUUAAUCUAAUACAGUUUAGGUUCCAAGUCAAGUUGGCAACUUGGAAACAACAAAGAAUGUGGAAUAAAAUGACAACUGAGGUGUAUACUUUCCAAGCCUUGCCCUGCCAAAUGCAAGUUCCUUUGAACUUUAUAGUACUGCAGUGGAGAGCAGAUCUAGAUUGCAUGCUCUAAUAUUUUGGAUUGCAGCUUGAAGAGAUAACGUUCUAAUUUAGGGAUAUACAUGCUGUCAUUGGGGCAGGUCUGAUACUAAAGCAUGCAGAUUUACAAGAGGCAAGUGGCUCAGCAUUAAUCUUUAGCAUUAGUCUUGCUUCCAAUUCAUCUGUUCUUUUGUUCUGUAAUUCAAGCAAUACUCAAAAGAUUAGUCUCCAAUUUGCAGGCAGGAUGAGGUAGGGAAUAUAAAAUAUUUAGAGGAAGAUAUGCAGUAGUUAGCUGUAGUUAUUAUCGAAGGAAACACUGGGUUAAAUCUUUUAAGGUUCAUGGAAAAUCUAUCAGAACAAAACAGAAGUGGAUGCAAUGGCGUUAAUGAAGAAAAACCUGAAGAUGCAACAGAAAUUCUAUGUUAAGAAAACUGGGACCGAAUACUUCAAGAUGGCAAAUGACAAUUCACUCUUCACAAUAGUUAUUGAGAUACUGUGUGGAACAGGGCCUUCUGGUGCAACGAGCUGCACCACCCAGAAACCCGCCUAAGAGGAAUACAUGGAAUAAAGAAGAGAGUAGAGCAAGUGAUCUGUGUGGACUUGGAGAGUAGAGCAAGUGAUCUGUGUGGACUUGCUGGAAUCAAAAUGGAGCAGAUUCAAGAGACGAGGAAAAACGGCACAACCAUUCUGUAUAGAGCAGUUCAUUAUGCAUUCUGAAAUAGGGAAACAACUCUAUUUCAGAACAACCCUGCCCUU